rnacentral:rRNA from 1 species
UACCACAGCCAUAUCACCCUGCAACCCAAGACCAUUUACUUAUUGAAGCUAAGCAGGGCUGAGCCUGUUCAGUACCUAGAUGGGAGACCACAUGGAAAAACUAGGUUGCUGUGGGAA